GUUUUUGUUUAUGUAUUCAUUGUUUUAAACACGGAAAGCCUUUUAUUGGUCAUCUGCAGAGCUCACAGAGUUGUCGCUCAGAACCGGUUCACGUUUUGUGGACUUCGAACUUUAUUGCGCGUUUGUUUGCGGUCUGUUGGAGCUGCUUCUUGUUUUUGGACGGAACCAGCAGCAGGAGGAGGAGAUCCAUCCCGUCUGAGAACAUCUGGAUCUGUCCUCAUCAGGUUGAGGGUCUGCUGUGUUCAGAAGAACUUUGAUCCAACAGUAAGGAGGAGGUGUUAUGAGUGAGAACAAGGAGACCAGCCCAGGAGGACGAGGUCAGUCUGCUGAAGGAGGCUCUCAGACCCUCAGUGUGUUCUUCAGGCCACAUUGAAGGAAUGUGAGGAGGAAGCCAGUGAGUGGAAGGCCUUGUGCUGUCAGCUGGACAUCAGAUGUGUGGAUGUUCAUCCACUCUGAGUGACUGAUGGGAGCCAAGUUUGUGUUAAAGCUCCUUCUAAACCCUGUGUUGUGUGACAUGUGGGAAAGUCCAGGAGGAUAGUGGGCUGCUUCAGGACCAGCACCAGAGCAAACUGUGACUCCUGCUGAUGAGGAGCCACAACAUCACUGCAGGUGCAACAGUGGAGGUCCAGGCAGAACACUGGUGAACCUCCUGGAGUUCUGGAAGGAUGCUGAAGUGUUUUAUGGACCUGUUGUUCCAGCUUCAUGUGUGUUGUGUGAACAAUGAAGCUGUGGUGUUUGAACAACUGUGAAUAAAAAGUCCAGAGUAACACCAGCACACCCAGUACCAGUACCACUACACCCCUGCUGUGUCCAGUUGGGUUCCUCUGAGUGUCCUAUUAAAGCUGUUGAGUUCA